AGCAGUAGCCACGGUAAUACGUAGGGUGCAAGCGUUAAUCGGAAUUACUGGGCGUAAAGCGUGCGCAGGCGGUUUGUUAAGACAGAUGUGAAAUCCCCGGGCUCAACCUGGGAACUGCAUUUGUGACUGGCAAGCUAGAGUGUGGCAGAGGGGGGUGGAAUUCCGCGUGUAGCAGUGAAAUGCGUAGAUAUGCGGAGGAACACCGAUGGCGAAGGCAGCCCCCUGGGCCAACACUGACGCUCAUGCACGAAAGCGUGGGGAGCAAACAGGAUUAGAUACCCCUGUAGUCCCUGUCUCUUAUAC
rnacentral:rRNA from 1 species